rfam:Acidithiobacillus ferrooxidans ATCC 23270, complete genome.
GGAGUGGGCCAGACGACCGCCGCGGAGCAAUCCGGGGAGGAAAGUCCGGGCUCCACAGGGCAAGGCGCCGGCUAACGGCCGGGAGGCGUGAGCCUACGGAAAGUGCCACAGAAAAUAUACCGCCAAAGCGCGUAAGCGCCGGUAAGGGUGAAAAGGUGCGGUAAGAGCGCACCGCAUUUCCGGCGACGGGAAUGGCAGGGAAAACCCCGCCUGGAGCAAGACCAAAUAGGCGUGCGAUACCGUGGCCCGCGGUGCAUGCGGGUAGGUUGCUGGAGCCUGCGCGUAAGUUCAGGCCUAGAGGAAUGGUCGUCCACGACAGAACCCGGCUUAUCGGCCCACUCCAAUU